UACAGAGGAUGCAAGCGUUGUCCGGAAUCAUUGGGCGUAAAGAGCGUGUAGGCGGCUCGAUAAGUCUGCUGUGAAAGUCCAGGGCUCAACCCUGGAAGGCCGGUGGAAACUGUCGGGCUAGAGUCCGGAAGAGGCGAGUGGAAUUCCCGGUGUAGCGGUGAAAUGCGCAGAUAUCGGGAGGAGCACCAAUGGCGAAGGCAGCUCGCUGGGACGGUACUGACGCUGAGACGCGAAAGCGUGGGGAGCAAACAGG
rnacentral:rRNA from 1 species